GGGGGUGUGGCUCAUGUGGUAGAGCGCAUGCUUAGCAUGCACGAGGUCCUGGGUUCAAUCCCCAGCACCUCCU
rnacentral:tRNA from 1 species